rnacentral:misc_RNA from 1 species
GAAAUGCGAUAAGUAAUGUGAAUUGCAGAAUUCAGUGAAUCAUCGAAUCUUUGAACGCACCUUGCUCUCCUUGGUAUUCCUUGGAGCAUGCCUGUUUGAGUAUCAUGAAAUCUUCAAAGUAAAUCUUUUGUUAACUCACUUGGUUUCUACUUUGGUAUUGGAGGUCUUUGCAGCUUCACACCUGCUCCUCUUUGUUCAUUAGCUGGAUCUCAGUGUUAUGCUUGGUUCCACUCGGCGUGAUAAGUUAUCUAUCGCUGAGGACACUGUAAAAGGUGGCCAAGGUAAAUGCAGAUGAACCGCUUCUAAUAGUCCAUUGACUUGGACAAUACUUUUAUGAGCUGAUCUCAAAUCAGGUAGGACUACCCGCUGAACUUAAGC